GUUAUGGAUGCUUUAUUUGACGAGUACCUUGAGUGUUUACAGUCACUUUUAUGAAAAAGUGUCACGUAGAAGUCGCGGGGCAGCUGCCAGGGAAGCAAGAAAAGAGAACCAGCCAGAGACCGGUGGUUUCUGGUCUGCCCGCUGCAGAGUGCUUGCUCGCCAGCCGCAAGAGAGCGGACGUCAGCCCUGGAGGUGGAUUUGGAAAAACAAGUCGCAAGGGGGGCAUUUCAGGAUGAAGCGCCCGCCCCCCUUCCCUGCUUGCUUGCACCCCCGGCUCCCGCGACGUCCACACGAAUGGCUGCUUUCUGCUUCGGUUGCCCAGCGCUGAAGGUAGACGGCGCCCGAUGGCAGAGGCACUGCGACAGAUGCCGGUGGCUGUGGUAACUAGCUAGCUUCCUCGUUUGAUAAAGAAGGCUGAGGUCCCAGCCAGCGAGGAUUUCCGGAAGGAGAAGCGCAAUCUUCCAGCUGCACCCAGCAAUAACCCAAUGCAGAGCUGUGGCGAAGAGGCACAUCUUCAUAAAAAUAACACUAAACACUCAAAGUACUCAUCCAAUAAAGUUUCUCUAACUAGUUUGUUACUUCAGGUAGUGAUAAACUAUGUUCAAGGGUCCAUUUCACUGUAUAAGAUGUUUUGCAUACGUUAUUUGACACUAAAAACACAGUUUUAUUUUGGUACGUCCA